UAGAAGACUCCCAGCAUUCCUAGUUG
rnacentral:piRNA from 1 species